UCCGGUUUGACACCGGCAGUCUCUCAUGAGUCCCCGACAUUACUCGCUGGCAACAUAAGACAGGGGUUGCGCUCGUUGCGGGACUUAACCCAACACCUCACGGCACGAGCUGACGACAACCAUGCACCACCUGUGUACGGCCCCGAAGGACACCAUAUCUCUAUGGCUUUUCCGUACAUUUCAAGCCUUGGUAAGGUGGGGAUGACGUUGGAGGAAUUCCA
rnacentral:misc_RNA from 1 species